CGGUGAUUGGCGCAGCCUGGUAGCGCACUUCGUUCGGGAUGAAGGGGUCGGAGGUUCGAAUCCUCUAUCACCGACCA
rnacentral:tRNA from 2 species